GUGUGACACAGAAAGAGAAUCAGAAUUCUGUCAUCAGUUCAGCAGACAAAAAAAGACCUUCAUGAUGCAGAAGGUCACACGCCUGCUGGUUCUACUGGUUCUGGGUUCUGCCAGGACCCAACAAGAUCCGAUUCUUUUGCAGGAGAACUUUGAUUUAGAGAAGUUUAUGGGGGGGUGGUACGAAGUGGCGGUGGCAUCCACAUGCCCGCACUACAUGCAACGAAAAAGGGAAAACCCGCUGAUAGUUGCUCUGAGACUAGACCAUGUUCCUUUUGGGAGCAACUUCACCAUGACAACCGCUACCUUAAGGAAUGGCUCCUGCAUGGAAACCUCCACGGAGUAUUUCCUGACCAACACUACAGGACGAUUCUUCCAUCACGUUGCUCGAUUCAGAGCAGACAUUGAUUCCUCUGUGCUUCACACUGAUGAAGAUGAUGGUUAUGCAGUGAUGCUGCAGCUGAGCACAGAGAAGCCAUCAGGAAACAAAACCAGCAUAAUCAAACUUUACAGUCGAACUGCAGAUGUGAGUCCUGCUGUUCUGCACCACUUUCAAGCUCUAGCCAUGAAUUAUGGAAUGAAUGAAGACGCCGUUAUUAUCAACCAAAACAAGGGUGUGUGUUUUCCAGGUGAAAAGGUGACACAGCUGCAGUUUGACUUUUCUUCCUAAGAAGUUGUGAAGCCACUUCUGAUUUCUUCAGAAAAAAAUGGAGACACCUGAACAGGGAGAACAAUCAUGUGUGGAGGUUGAUGAAGAUGAUCAGGAUUAUUUGUAAUGAGGAGUUAUAUGUGUUAAAUUUAUUAAACAUUUUAAGAUUCUGGGCUAAAAACAUACUUUUUGAUGACAAACCAAAAGAACAUCUUUUAUAAAGGCAGGAUGAUUUUUUUUAAAAACUGCUACCAAUCAUGGGUGGAAAAAAAAAUUUUGAAAAAAAAUUUAAACUGUAACAUCAAAGUAAUAGAUUUUAAGCCUUAUAGCCUGCAUAUAAACCCACAAGUUUGUGAAAAUCUGAAAUGGUAAAUAUAUAUUAUGUCAACCUAAAAUAAAUGGUAUGAGUAAAUGUAAUAUAAUUGAGUUAAUUCUAAUUAUAGGAUGCAAAAUCAGAGCAAAAAUCAGAGAUAUGGUGUAAUAAAAGUCUGUGAACUUCAAGACAUGCAGGGAAGUGAAAGUGUGAGGACAAGAUGUGAUUUCAGCCGCUUGUUUUUAGGAGAAACAGCAGCUGUAGUUUAAAAAGAGGGACACUAUAAGUGCUUAUCACUACAAAAAAAAAAUCCACAUAUCAAGGCUUAAAGAUUGCAACAAUUAUUAAAUUUCUCCCAAAUACAACAAAAAUGUACAAAUUCUAUUUAAGGAUGGUGAAAAAGUUUUAGUGUCUAAAACCAUGAGAGGUAUUGAUUUGUGGGUUUACUGCAGCUCUGAAGUCCAAUGUCU